GCCCUAUUUUUCUGCAGACUUGCACCCUAUAUUGGGGGUGCCGGUUCGCCGGCUAUGGAAAUAAAUGACCGUCGCAAUAAACCAUUCGGACCCGGGGGCAGUACCCGGCGCCUCCACCCAAGCCCACCCUUCCUGAGGCGGGUUUCGGCGGGGGCGAAACAGGAUCGACGAGGGCGUAAAGGGCGCGUUUUUUCUCGGUAUGGUUCCGCCGAUAUCGGGCCAUGCAAUAGUUGCAAACGACAACUAUGCUCCGGUUGCUCAGGCUGCGUAACGCAGUUUGAAAGACCAAUCUAAAGUCCUAGCGGGUUAAGCUCCGCUAGGCGGGGUCCGGAGGCACCUGGCAACAGAAGCCUCCACU
rnacentral:tmRNA from 1 species